CGCACCUUGCACCCUUUGGUAUUCCGAAGGGUAUGCCUGUUUGAGUGUCAUUGUAAUCUCAACUCUACAGUCUUUGUUGACUUGUAGGGCUUGGACUUGGAGUGUGCUGGCGCAAGUCAGCUCCUCUCUAAAAGCAUUAGCAUAAGGUUGUAGACUAUUAGCGGUCGGUGUGAUAGUAUCUUCACCGGUUCAUACUGCGAAUGUCACGGCCUAGCUUCCAAUCGUCUUCACGGACAAUUAUACAAGCGCUUGACCUCAAAUCAGGUAGGACUACCCGCUGAACUUAA
rnacentral:misc_RNA from 1 species